UGUAACUGUGCAGUUUGUUUUUGUCAAUUUACAGGUUAUAAUUUUCUUCAGUCACCUGCUUGAUGUAGUGGAUAUACGAACUACAAUGGCUUGAGUUAUGUAAUGGUUAAACAUGCCACAACCGCCUGCUAUAUUAAGUGAACAUACCUACUACAAUAACUCGCUUUAUGUUGUAGACUGCCCUACUACUAUCCGCUGCUUUAUGAAGUGGACAUACAAACUACAACCGCUAGCUUUUUUAGUGGAUAUACCUACUACAACUGCCACCUUUAGUUAGUUCACAUACAUACCACAACCGCCUGCUUUUUGUUGUGGAUAUAAAUACUACAACUGACUGCUUUAUGAAGUGGACAUACCUUCUACAACCUCCUGUUUAAUGUAGUUGACAUACCUGCUACAACCUCCUGAUAUCUUUAUAGUGGACAUAUGUACUAUGGCUACAAUCACCUGCUUUAUAAAGUGGACAUAUCUACUGUAAUCGCUUGCUUUAUGUAGUGGACAUACAUAUUACAUCCUCCUACUAUAAGUAGCGGAUAUAUCUAAUACAAUUAUCUGCUUUAUGUAGUAGAGAUACAGACUACAACCGCCUGCUUUGUUUAGUGAACAUAAAUACAAUGUACCACAGUUACGGGCUACAUAUAGUGGAAUAUAUACCUUUUUAUAUAGUAGAGUAAUAUAUACUAUUAGUACCUGCUUAAUGGAGUGGAAAAUAUAGAACAAUCACUAUCCAUAAAUUUACCAACCAGCAACUUGUUUUAG
rnacentral:lncRNA from 1 species